UACUGACUGUGUACUGACUGUUUACUGACUGUGUACUGACUGUAUACUGACUGUAUACUGACUGUACUGACUGUUUACUGACUGUGUACUGACUGUAUACUGAGUGUACUGACUGUGUACUGACUGUUUACUGACUGUACUGACUGUUUACUGACUGUGUACUGACUGUGUACUGACUGUUUACUGACUGUGUACUGACUGUGUACUGACUGUAUACUGACUGUACUGACUGUUUACUGACUGUGUACUGACUGUGUACUGACUGUAUACUGAGUGUACUGACUGUGUACUGAGUGUACUGACUGUGUACUGACUGUAUACUGACUGUGUACUGACUGUGUACUGACUGUGUACUGACUGUGUACUGACUGUUACUGACUGUGUACUGACUGUAUACUGACUGUGUACUGACUGUAUACUGACUGUACACUGACUGUACACUGACUGUGUACUGACUGUAUACUGAGUGUACUGACUGUGUACUGACUGUAUUCUUCUUCAGGCCUUCCGGUACCAGCGGGUGUUGCAGCCGAUGUUGGUUGCGUGCCGUCCUGUUGAUCCGGCGGAGCGGCGCCCCCCAGUGGAGAGGGAGGAGCAUGUCCUGCCUCUGUGGCUGCUGCGGAGUCUUCCUGUCAUCUACCCGACCAUCAAACACUAUAACAGCCUCUUUGACUCUGCUACCGAGGCCCCGCCCCCCUGCAGGUCAGGUGGGGCCCGUCAGAGUCACCUGACCUUCCUCCGCUGUGCCUCCCACACCUAUAGCUUCUCCCCCGGGACCAGAUACCCCCCACGCCUCCCCAAACACCUCGACUUCAAACGCAUUGGCUUCCUGCAGCUGCACCAGCCCCUCCCCCCUCGUAACCUGGACUCUUCCCCCCUCGCUGAUGGACAGGUGGACUCUUCCGGCCCCUUUAGAGCUCUCAGUCCUCCUCGAGUCGUCCUCCGCCGCCUCCUCUUGUCCAGGACCGACUCCCCCUCUGACAUCACCACCACUUCCUCUGUCUCCAUGACGACCAGAGAGCAAAUCAGACGCCACUGUCAGACCCUCGCCAGCCUGAGGAGAAGGAGGAGGAGGUGUUCUCCUAAAGGCCCUGCCCCCUCACAAGUUGAGGUGCAGGAUGAUGUCAUCAGGAUGAGCGAGGAGGAGGAAGAGGAGGAGGAAGAGAGCGAGGUCCUCCUGGCUCUGUCUGAAUCCUCACUCAGCUCAACAGAAGGCGUCGCCCUUGACAACGAUGCAGAGGAGGCGGAGUCAGAGGGUGGACAGGAAGUGACAGCAUCCAGAGGAUCAGCAGAAAAUGAAGAUGAUGAAGAUGGUGAUGGAGGUGCAGUCCUCCUGCAGAAGGUCUGUCAAUAAUAUUUCUGAUAUUUUAACACCAUUAAUGAUCUACAAACACAAUAAUCAUACAACUUCUUCUUGUACCUGUCGCACACUGGACCAAAGAAUCUGUGAUGUCACAAAUCCUGCUGCUAGGCCCCACCCUUAAAAUCUGAUUAUCAAUGAGCAAUCAAUCAAUAAGAAAAAAAGAAACAAACAAAUCAUUCAGGGAGAACACUGUAGGACCGUUUAUCAGCUGGUUCUCAGGAACGACAAUGUAGUCUGUCUUCACUGGGACAAUAAUGGGAAUAUAUGUUCAUUAAUAAACAAUAAUAAACUGUAAUAAAGAAUAAAACAUAUUAAUAAAAUAUAAACAUUAAUAAACAAUAAUAAACUGUAAUUAACAAUAAAGCACAAUAAAAUAGAAUAAACAUCAAUACACAAUAAUCAAUAAUAAACAUUAGUAAACAGUAAAUAAACAUUAAUAAACUGUAACAAUGAUAAACAGUAAUAAAUUAUAAUAAACAUUAAUAAAG
rnacentral:lncRNA from 15 species